GGCUUCGUGGUGUAGUGGUCAGCACGCUGGACUCAUAUUCCAGAUGUCCGAGGUCCGAGUCCCGGCGAAGGCU
rnacentral:tRNA from 1 species